UACGGGGGGGGCAAGCGUUGUUCGGAAUUACUGGGCGUAAAGGGCUCGUAGGUGGCCAACUAAGUCAGACGUGAAAAUCCCUCGGCUUAACCGGGGGAACUGCGUCUGAUACUGGAUGGCUUGAGAUUGGGAGAGGGAUGCGGAAUUCCAGGUGUAGCGGUGAAAUGCGUAGAUAUCUGGAGGAACACCGGUGGCGAAGGCGGCAUCCUGGACCAACACUGACACUGAGGAGCGAAAGCCAGGGGGAGCAAAACGGGG
rnacentral:rRNA from 1 species